AGGCUUAAUUAAUGUAGCCGUCAUUUGUUAUUAACUAUGUCUGGCACUGCUGCAGCACAUCACCACCUCAAAUGGCUUAACAAAUUAAUUCAGAAUGUCACUUUUGAUUGUCAGCACCGCUUCACCACUGCACACUAUACUUGCUAACUGUUCUCUUUCUUUAUUCGUGAACAUUAAUUUAUCCUUUUCAUUUCAGGCAUCAUUGUGUCUCCACCGCCGAGCCUUGCUGCCAAUCUUUCAGAGCUCUGCCUUCUGACUCUUUUGUUCCUUUUUGUUUGCAAGUUACAGAGAGGGAUUAAAAACAACUAUUAAAGGAAAAACGCAGGGAUGUUUAUGCUUUGCUUUUCUAUCUACUGGCGGUUGGAAGUGGCCUUUUGAUUGGUGGAUUAGAGGCUUCAGAAGAGGAAGAUAUAUGCAUGUUUGGAGAGCGUCCUUGUAGAGGAAGUGUUUGAACAAUUGAAGCGUACAACAGAGGGUCUGAAAUUUGAGGAGCAUUUAGUUUCAACAAUCACUUCAAGAUAAAUCCAAGUGUUCAGAUAGUUGGAAGCAAUGGGUUCCAAGAACAAGGAAAAAGCUGAAAGAGAUAAAAAGUCAAAGAAAGAAGCUGAUUUGGAGACUUGUUCUGAGGCUGACAAGGUGGAUGAUAAGAAAGCAGAAUCUGAAUCUGCAGAGACCAUCACAAGCAUCGAAUCAACUAAAAGAAGAGGGAAGCGAAGUGUGGUGGAAAUGUAUAAGGUUGUGAUCAAGAAGGCUUUGGGAAAAAAAUUUAAAGUGACAUACACCGACACGGGGAAUCCCAAUGGACGAGUACGACACACUUUGCAAUCAUAUAUAGGGAUGCUAGCGCGGAAAAUGGUGCCCAUUAACAUUGUAAGCUAGCUCGAAGUAGACGGUGAAUUGAAAGAUAAAAUUUGGAUCGACGUCUAGGAUACAUUCAAAGUGGCCCCUGAAAUCAAGAAAUUGGUGUUGACAUCUGCUGGCACAAAAUGGAGACAAUUCAAGACCAACUUAACAAAUAAGUAUGUGCUGCCAUACUUAGGAAAGAAGAAGAAAUUGAGAAAGCCACCAAAGCAGUAUGCAUUCGUUGGGUUGCAUCCAUGGAAGGAGUUUGUAAGUCAGAGGACUACAGAGGCAUGGCUGAAACUUCAUAAUGACCAAAGUAAACGAGUCAAGAAGAGAAAAUACCAUCAUAGAUUAUGAAGAAAGGGAUAUAUUGGACUAGAGGAGGAAUCGGAGAGGUUAUUGACCGUGCAAUUCUAUGGAAGAAGGCCCGUGUACUUAAAAAUGGGGAGAUAAGUGAGGAGGUGACACUGAUUGCAACAAAGAUAGAUGAAUUGAUGGAGAAGAAAAGGAAGGGUGAGCUAGAAAUUUCAGGGAGUAGUGAUGUAUUAUCUCAAGCACUAGAAACUCCUAAACAUUCGGGUAGGGUAAGGGGUGUUGGAGGCUUCGUAAAUCCGUCUACCUACUUUAAGCUUCCAAAGCAGAAAAGGGUGAGAAUUACUAAGGCAAAAUUACUGGCACGUGAUAGAGAGCGUGAUCGGGAGGUGGAGGAGACAAAGAAAAUAAUUCUUGAAAAACAAGCAAAGGCAGAAGAGCUAUUACAUAAAAAGAUUGCUCAAUUAGAAGCAUUGAUAACAGAAAAGGCAACCUAUACACCAUAUUCCCCUAUAUCAGAUAAAGGCAGUUUCCAUGAUAAAGAAAAGAAAAGGCCAAUUUAUCUUGAUGUUGACAAGGUGCAAGAAAAUGUAGAUGAUUGGUGGCACCUGCGAGUUGGCAGUGAAUACCAUCAGCAACAUAGUUGCUUUUGGUACCGUAUUCGAUGACGCGGAUAUUAACAAGACGAUACAUGGAGCUCCAUUGAAGGAGGGGUGUGUUAGAGUGUCGGUGGAUGGUGAGAUUCAAGGCGAUGCACCAUUACCUUUCCCUAUAAUGGGUGAGAUGGAAUUUGUUCGAGAAGCGGUUGGAAGUCACAUGGCUUGGCCUGAGGAGUUUGUUAUUCGAAGACAACCAGUGAAGAAAAAGAAAAGAAAUAUGGAUUUCGUCAAAUCAAUGUUCAAUAAAGUUGAGCUUCCUCCAUUUGUGCCCAAGCGCUGUAAGUUAUUGUACAAACAUGCCACAACAAUCAUGAAACAAACUAGUGAGGCAAUAACCACAGUGUUGGAUGACAAUGUCUUUGGCAUACACAAAGAACUCUUCAUCUUGACUGAGAAUGUGAUUGAUCUCUUAGAAAUGAAAAAGAUUGGCCAAGGAGUGAUAGCAGCAUACAUGGUGCAACUACAUGAACUUAUUACUGAACAAGACGAGUUGGAAACUUUUGCCUUUAUUGAUCCUGCUGCUACAUAUAAUUGCGAGAGAUCAGACUUUAGUUCCUACUUAGUGAAUCGGUUGAAAGAAGGAAAGGCUGAUCGCAUAUUCUUUAUGUCCUACAAUCCGGGGGAACAUUGGAUAUUGACAAUCAUAUGGGAGGAUGAAAUCUACAUCUUGGACCCUUUGGGAAAAUCAAUCCAUUACCAAGCAUGGGAGAACUCUAUGAUAAAUCCAAUUAAAAGUUUCAAUGCUGAAACGGGUAGGGCUAACAAGGUGCCGAAAUUGAAACUACUUCCGGUUAGUAUGAUAUAUGUGAUUGAUUAAGUUACAAUAUUCUAUUUAGUAUGAACUUUCUAAUUCAAUAAUGUAAAUAAACAUGGCGUACCUAAACAACCGGGUGGAGUUGAGUGUGGCUAUUGUGUAAUGCGAUACAUGAAGGACAUUAUAAAUGAUGACACGCUUUCAUUUCCGACCAAGUGGGCAGCGAAGACUCGGAAAGUAUACACCCAAGUUGAACUUGACGAGGUCCGCAUUGAAGUAGCUGACUAUUUGCAGACUUUGCUAUAGAUGCUAACUCUACCAAAGUGAUUUUGAGUAAGGCUAGCUAGAUUUUGUAGAACCAUUUUGAAGUAGAACAUUGUACAGUUGCAGGUGAACUAAACUGCAUAUAGUUAUUGCAAUGGUCUAUUUUGGGCUAGCCUUGAUGUAGGUUGGGGUGUGUUUGCCUAUUUUUGGAACUAUUAACAAUUCUGCUGUUUGACAGAAAUUAAUGCAAUGCCUCAUAUUCAAUUAAUU